UUGAACGCUGGCGGCAGGCCUAACACAUGGCAAGUCGAACGGUAGCACAGGAGAGCUUGCUCUCGUGGGUGACGAGUGGCGGACGGUGAGUAACACGUGAGUAACCUGCCCCGAACUCUGGGAUAACUGCUGGAAACGGUAGCUAAUACCGGAUAUGACCAAUGAAGGCAUCUUCUGUUGGUGGAAAGAAUUUCGGUUCGGGAUGGACUCGCGGCCUAUCAGCUUGUUGGUGAGGUAACGGCUCACCAAGGCGACGACGGGUAGCCGGCCUGAGAGGGUGAUCGGCCACACUGGGACUGAGACACGGCCCAGACUCCUACGGGAGGCAGCAGUGGGGAAUAUUGCACAAUGGGCGCAAGCCUGAUGCAGCAACGCCGCGUGAGGGACGACGGCCUUCGGGUUGUAAACCUCUUUUAGUAGGGAAGAAGCGAAAGUGACGGUACCUGCAGAAAAAGCACCGGCUAACUACGUG
rnacentral:rRNA from 1 species